GGGACGGCAGAGCCUGGUGGGCUGCUGUCUAUGGGGUCGCACAGAGUCGGACACGACUGAUGUGACUUAGCAGCAGCAGCAGCUAACGUGAUCAGCUAGUGAAUUUAGAAAUCUUAGGCUGAGAAGUAUUACAGGCUUAACGGCUUGAGACCUUUUCAAUGCUAGUUUCAAAUAUAUUAAAGUUGCAUUUCUUUUGUUAUAAAGUAAGUUAUCUAAGAUCAGGAAGUUUGACUUUGAACGUUUUCUUUAAAUUUUAAAAUACAACUCAACCCACAUUACAAUGGGUGAUGGAAGGGUUUUUAAGUCUGUAUAUUUUGUUAUAUAUAGGCCUUAACUUCUAGGCAUCUCAUUUGGAUAUUAAUUUUUGUACUAGAGCAAGUCCUAAGUUGCUUUUGGAGCAAAGUUAUGACUGUAGUUCUGUAACUUUAGACCUACGGUGGCAGAUGACUUGGGUUUUCAACACCAGAUGGUAAUACUCAUUGCCUUAAGUUGAGAUCCUCCUUCCCAUUUGCAGAACUACCUCUCUGGGCUAAGACUUCAUAUCUCCCACAUAGGUUCAGGGCAUACCUCUAUGAUAUGAACCAUAUUCUACAUCCUACUGCCAGAAUAAUCAACUUUGAAACCUCCUUCAGUCACUUCACGCCUUUAUAAUCCUACAGUGAUUUCUCAUUGUACUAAAUUUAAAUCCUUCAACAUGUAGUUGGGAGCCCUCUCAAAAAUUUCCCUGUAGUAAAGGCAUCUUCAUUCAUUCAUUCAAGGGGAGGAAGAAAUAUUUAUAUAUUGAGUAUCAGGUGCUAGAGGUUUUUAUUCCUUACACCCUUAGCAGGAAGACAAUAUCACUAGUUAAUAAGUAACCGACCCAGGAGUAGAGAACUUUAAAAGCUUGACUAACGUCACUGGCUUUUGUCUAAUAAUUUCCAUGCUUUUUCCCCUACACCAUACUUCCUCUCAUUUUGCAAACACUGACUGGCUUUCUAUUCUGUGCCAAAACUGAUGUUAGGCGUUAGGAUAAGAAGACAAAUGAAACACUGAGAUUAUAUAUAUGAAAAUGCAUUUAAAAUUUUAAGGCAUUUUGUGUCAUUGAUUCUUCUUAAUCAGAACACAUUCAAUCUAGUGGUAGAAACUAGGAGAAAUAAUUCUGUUAUCUUAAUUUCUCUUGCUUGCUUUUACCUCCUUUGCCAAGCCUGUCUUUCUACACUUAGAUUCAAACUUCCACCCUCUGAAGUUUGGCCAUUUAUCUAGUCAUUCAGAUUCUUCCAUAUCCUUUAAAAUUAAUUUAUUCAACAAACAUUUAUAAGGGGGGUAUUGUAUUCAAAGCUCCAUGCUAGGUUAAUGGUGGGGAUACAAAAAUGAACAAGACCAGUCAAGUGGAAGAGAUAUACAGUAACUUCAGAGCAAUGUGAGAAGAACUGAAAAGGAUUAUGAGAUUGUGGGGAAAACAGCUGUGAGACUACGGGAAGGGAGGGACGGAGUGAUCAGAGAUGAAGAAACGCUCUUCAGAUAGGGGGAAAGAUAGAAGUAUGCUCCAGACAGAGUGAAGGCAGGUGUGGAGUGGCAGUGGUGCUUGGACGUCAGGAAAGUUCAGCGGGGCUGGAGGCCAUGGCUCAGGGGCAAGCCAGAGAAGCUGAGGCAGGAGCUGGGGAAUCUCUGCUUUUUCUUUUUUCCCUUCCAAUACAGGACUAUGACCUAGGAUUGGAACUUUGUUCUAGAAAGAUGGCUUCAAGAGACCCUUUGGGAGUAUUUGGGAAAAGAAGUCAAUGAGGGCCGAGGGCCCCAAUGCAUAGACUCAUCAUUACUCCUCUCAUCUGCAAAAAGAACCGCAAAUUUCAUGAGAAAAGGAGUUAUUUCUCAGUAUUCUUUUAUGUUCUUCAGGCUUGAAUACAGUACUAUGUACAAUAACUUUAUCUGACAAAUGGUUUUUAUGUAUUUUUUAGAUCAAUGAAAGUAGUAUGUUGCAUCUGGUUGCUACCUCGUCCUGCUUUGUAGCCUAAUCGGUUCAGUUCAGUCCCCCAGUUGUGUCAGACUCUUUUCAACCCCAUGAACCACAGCACGCCAGGCCUCCCUGUCCAUCACCAACUCCCGGAGUUCACUCAAACCCAUGUCCAUUGAGUCGGUGAUGCCAUCCAACCAUCUCAUCCUCUGCCGUCUCCUCCUCCUGCCCUCAAUCUUUCCCAGCAUCAGGGUCUUUUCCAAUGAGUCAGCGUAUAUAACAAUGUAGCCUAAUAACUGAGGCUGCUGCUGCUACUGCUGCUGCUAAGUCGCUUCAGUCGUGUCUGACUCUGUGCGACCCCAUAGACGGCAGCCCAUCAGGCUCCCCAUCCCUGGGAUUCUCCAGGCAAGAACACUGGAGUGGGUUGCCAUUUCCUUCUCCAAUGCAUGAAAGUGAAAAGUGGAAGUGAAGUUGCUCAGUUGUAUCCAACUCCUAGCGACCCCAUGGACUGCAGCCCACCAGGCUCCUCCGUCCAUGGGAUUUUCCAGGCAAGAGUACUGGAGUGGGGUGCCAUUGCCUUCUCUGAUAACUGAGGUUAACUGUAAUUAUUUAGAAUACCUGGGAAGCUAAAAGAGAGACUGGCCUCUUUGGGAUGACUUCUACUUACUUGUCUGCCUGGAUAAUUUGAGGGGUGACAUGGGAUGCAGUCAGUUUACCAUUUUGAGUCUAUACAACAGGAUACAUUACAUUUGGCUUAAUUAGUAUAAACACUGCUGCUGCUGCUGUUAAGUCGAUUCAGUUGUGUUCGACUCUCUGCGACCCCAUAGACCGCAGCCCACCCGUCCCGGGGAUUCUCCAGGCAAGAACACUGGAGUGGGUUGCCAUUUCCUUCUCCAAUGCAUGAAAGUGAAAAAUGAAAGGGAAGUCGCUCAGUCGUGUCCGACUCUUAGCAACCCCAUAGACUGCAGCCUACCAGGCUCCUCCACCCAUGGGAUUUUCCAGGCAACAGUACUGGAGUGGGGUGCCGUUGCCUUCUCCGAAUAUAAACACAGCAGUUACCUAAUGAGUCCUACUGUGCCUUAUGCAUUAUACUCUGUUUGAUACAGAAAUACAGACAGGAGUAAGGAACAGUCUCUGCUCUUAGGAGCGCGUAUUGGGCACCGAAAAGGGGAAACAUACACUGUAACUUUGGUAUUAAUAUAAUAAAAUCUCUUAAUGCUAUGUGAAUGGUAUGAACAAAGUGCUGAGGGAAAUAGAGAAAGGAGGUGACAGAACAGCUCACAAGGUUGUGGGGAUUUUAAAAAAGUUCAGUUCAGUCGCUCAGUCGUGUCCGACUCUUUACGACCCCAUGAACCGCAGCACGCCAGGCCUCCCUGUACAUCACCAACGCUCGGAGUUCAUUCAAACUCACGUCCAUCGAGUCGGUGAUGCCAUCCAGCCAUCUCAUCCUCUGCCGUUCCCUUCUCCUCCUGCCCCCAAUCCCUCCCACCAUCAGAGUCUUUUCCAAUGAGUCAACUCUUCGCAUGAGGUGACCAUAGUACUGGAAUUUUAGCUUUAGCAUCAUUCCUUCCAAAGAACAUCCAGGACUGAUCUUCUUUAGAAUGGACUGGCUGGAUCUCCUUGCAGUCCAAGGGACUCCCAAGAGUCUUCUCCAACACCACAGUUCAAAAGCAUCAAUUCUUCGGCGCUCAGCUUUCUUCACAGUCCAUAUAUGUGCAAAUGAAAAAAUGUCUUAUUCUUAACUCUGAUAAUUACACAGCAAACCCCGCAUUUAUACCGGUGUUGGCGAUCUUGGCAGAACAUGAACUCCUCGCCUUUCAGGAGUUGCUAGUUCCCUUAAGCCUCAGACUUCUUUAAAGUCUAGCUGAACUAAAAGGAGUUUCUGGAUAGUUAUGCAGGACUAGAGCGAAACGGAGGAUCCCACAGUUCCUGCGAAUCGGGGCUUGUGGAGGCGGUUAUACUCUGCAGAUUACGGCAGUGGGCGGGCCCCAAAUCCCCAUGUGGUCCCGACAUCAUUGACAUGGCGGAAUCCCCCAUCUAACCCUCCUGGUAGUUAUUUGAGCGGCGGCGGCGGCCGGAGGAGGAGGAGAUCGGCGGUGGGGACGGCGGCGGCGGCGGCGGGAGCAGCGAAGGGGCGGCAGGGAUUCUCGGGGCUGUCGGCUGGGGAGGCGUGGGAGACCCGGUGUGUGGCGCGCCCGGAGCCCCGCGUUUCAGCCCCAGGGAAGGUAAGGGAUGCAGGAGCGGGAGUCUGGAGGGGACCGGGAUCCCAAGUCUCUGCCGCCGCUCUCGGCGCGCUGGAAAGCCCCGUCCGGACGCAGAGUCUGCCAAAGUGCGUGCCUGUCCCGGAGCGCUUCGGGAGCGCCGGGCUUCCCGAGGAAAACUUGCCGCCAGAGUGCUGGGGCGCCCUGCGCUGAUCUGGGCACCCCGGGAACAGGGGGCCCGGUGUGGGGGGUGCCGGCCUGCGCUUUGGGGCCGCGUCUUACUGGUCUCCCGGCCCCCGCUCAUCCAUACAGCUGGCCAAGGUUUGGAGGAGGGAAAGAAACGGGUAGAUUCUUUCUUGAUGGGGAAAAAAAAAAUCUGGGCAGUGGUUCCCGGGCUCUCCCUCCCCCCUCGCCCUCCCUAGCCUUCCCAGCAGAUUUUGUCCGAGGAAUCCGCUCCCCCUCCCGGAAUCUCCGCGGCAGGAACGCUGCCCAGGAGGGGGAGGGCGGGCGGAGAGGCCGAGGAAUCUUCGACGUGUCACUUUCUGAGGCUGUAGAUUUCCAUAUGGUGGAGGGAGG
ensembl:lncRNA